CAGUCGAACGGCAGCACGGGUGCUUGCACCUGGUGGCGAGUGGCGAACGGGUGAGUAAUACAUCGGAACGUACCUUAUCGUGGGGGAUAACGCAGCGAAAGCUGUGCUAAUACCGCAUACGCCCUGAGGGGGAAAGCGGGGGAUCGCAAGACCUCGCGCGAUUAGAGCGGCCGAUGCCUGAUCAGCUUGUUGGUGGGGUAAAAGCCCACCAAGGCGACGAUCAGUAGCUGGUCUGAGAGGACGAUCAGCCACACUGGGACUGAGACACGGCCCAGACUCCUACGGGAGGCAGCAGUGGGGAAUUUUGGACAAUGGGGGCAACCCUGAUCCAGCAAUGCCGCGUGAGUGAAGAAGGCCUUCGGGUUGUAAAGCUCUUUUGUCAGGGAAGAAACACCGGCUCUAACACAGUCCGGGAAUGACGGUACCUGAAGAAUAAGCACCGGCUAACUACGUGCCAGCAGCCGCGGUAAUACGUAGGGUGCGAGCGUUAAUCGGAAUUACUGGGCGUAAAGCGUGCGCAGGCGGUUAUACAAGACAGGCGUGAAAUCCCCGGGCUUAACCUGGGAAUGGCGCCUGUGACUGUAUAGCUAGAGUGUGUCAGAGGGGGGUAGAAUUCCACGUGUAGCAGUGAAAUGCGUAGAUAUGUGGAGGAAUACCAAUGGCGAAGGCAGCCCCCUGGGAUAACACUGACGCUCAUGCACGAAAGCGUGGGGAGCGAACAGGAUUAGAUACCCUGGUAGUCCACGUCCUAAACGAUGCUGACUAGUUGUUCGGGAUUUACAUCCUGAGUAACGUAGCUAACGCGUGAAGUCAGCCGCCUGGGGAGUACGGUCGCAAGAUUAAAACUCAAAGGAAUUGACAGG
rnacentral:rRNA from 1 species